AGGACGAACGCUGGCGGCGUGCUUAACACAUGCAAGUCGAGCGGUAAGGCUCCUUCGGGAGUACACGAGCGGCGAACGGGUGAGUAACACGUGAGCAAUCUGCCCUUCACACUGGGAUAACCCCGGGAAACCGGGGCUAAUACCGGAUGCGACCACCGACGGCAUCGUCUGGUGGUGGAAAGUUCCGGCGGUGGAGGAUGAGCUCGCGGCCUAUCAGCUUGUUGGUGGGGUAAUGGCCUACCAAGGCUUCGACGGGUAGCCGGCCUGAGAGGGUGACCGGCCACACUGGGACUGAGACACGGCCCAGACUCCUACGGGAGGCAGCAGUGGGGAAUAUUGGACAAUGGGCGAAAGCCUGAUCCAGCAACGCCGCGUGAGGGAUGACGGCCUUCGGGUUGUAAACCUCUUUCAGCAGGGACGAAGCGCAAGUGACGGUACUGCAGAAGAGCACCGGCCAACUACGUGCCAGCAGCCGC
rnacentral:rRNA from 1 species